rnacentral:lncRNA from 1 species
CGCUGACAGGCCCCGGGACAAUGGGGCGCAUGUCCCCUGGCUGAGGAGACAGAAUGAAGAAAGACCCUAUGAGGGGCUCAGGGCGGAGACGGAGGGAGCCCCACAGGGCUGUGCUGAAGUGUGGCUCUGGCCAGGGCAGCGGGCACAGACGCCAGUCGCGAUGCCAUCUUGGGUAGGGCCGGGACCGGGGCCCUGGCCGGAGAGGCUGGCGCUCAACAGUACAGCUGUGUGCCCUCCUCGGAGCGCAGCAUGAGGAGGAAGAUGGUUCUGCCCCAGCGGCCCAUCAAGAUGGACCUGGCGUCAGGACCCGUUCUCCACAGGCGUGGAGGGAGACACCGAGGGUGGCUGCGAGUCCCUCCACGUGGCGGCAGACCCCAGCUUUUGCUGGCCCGGCACUAUUUACGUCCGGGGCAAUGGCUGGGAGCUGCACUGCUGACGGCAUAAUUUCCAUUUCUUAACGCACCGAUGGUUUCCACGUGGACUGCACUGGAGCUAACUUGGACUGCGUCUUUUAUCGACACCCCCUGGACAAUAAAGACACCAGCUCUGUAUCCUAAUCAUGCGGACACCCUCACCCUCGGCAAGGUGACCGCUCCAGAGUGGGCCCAGAUCCCGAGCCCCAAGUACACAUGGUUCACACGGUGGCGGGGGCUUCAGACCUCCACCUGCCACGUGCCAUUUGCAGGGGCAAGGUGGGAGUUUAGAAAAGGUAUUUUUAGAAGCCCAGCAGGCAUUCCUGGCGUGCAAAUAAACAUAUAUCCACAUGGAGCCUGGAGGGUGUCUGCAUCGCUGAGGCUUGGGGGUUCUGACCAAGCUGUUUGAAGAGCCUCCUUUGCCUGGUGAUCACAAUGGCUGGUGCCAGGCACCUUCAG